ACUCUACGUUUAUCACUUCUCCACCAAAAAAUAACACUGCAUCUCUCCUUCACUCGGCCAUCACACUAGCAACAGAAACACCCAUUAAACCCCCAAAACCUAAGAAGAUUUAAUUCAAAGCCCACUACACAAACCCUAGAUCUGAUGUCUUUAGCAAGUUUUCACUGUCCGUGGCUUGACAUUUUGGCUAGCUUUAACAAAUUUCAUUCAAGUUUUGUUGGAGUCGUCUGACUGUUUCUGCUCGACUAUUUAAAAUUGUAGAAUAAAUUUUAGAUAAAAGUGGUCAAAUGAGAUGGAGCUCUCAAAUUGACUCUUCCUAAAGAGUCUCGUGAUCUGGAUAGGGAUAGCCAAGAUUUGCCGGAGGAAUUUGAGAAAGCUGCUACUUAUGGAGGAAAUGAAAAUGAAAGUUGUAUUCGAAUAUUCAAGCGCAGGGUUGAAGAAAAGGCGAGUCUUCUUAACUAUACUAUUGACAACAUUUAUGCCCGCCCCACCCGCAACAACCUUUUUGGAAUUUUAUCUUCAAGAUAACAAUGUUAUUGCCAUAGGAAUGGAUGACUCCUACAUCCAGAUAUAUAAUGUUCAAGUUAACGAGGUAAAGACAAAGCUCAAAGGACAUCAUAAAAGAAUAACUGGGCUUGCUUUUUCGAAUUCUCUCAACGUACUUAUAUCUGCAGGAGAAGAUUAUCAGGUAAAUUAAUUUGAUAUAGGUGUAUUUCGACAUAUACCUUACUUAAAAGAAAAAUAUAGUUGUUGUGUUUUGGGCGAAUUUGUGGCUUGAUGUUGUUGAUAAUAGUUGCUACCGUGGAUGAACAAUUUCAGCACUUUGACCAUUUUUCUGCUACAAUCUGUUGAGGCAAAAAAUGAAAUAACUUUGCUUAUUUAACUUCUGUUUGGCAUGUUUAUCAUUACCUCAUGCCUUUGAUGAGAAUUAAUUAUUGCCUUUGAUGAGGUUGGUUGCUACAGUUUGACACCUCAUUUUGAAGUUGAAUCAAUGUUGUAUUUUGGCCUUUUGCUGCUCCAUUUUGUAAUAUUUUUUGAUCCCCGGGUUGUUGUAUUUUUUCUUUUACUACUGUUGAAUUUUAGACUAAGCUAUUUGCUAUACUUUUGGCCAAAUUUGAGCCAAUGGUUGCUAUGUGUUGACCUAAACUUCACUGCACUUUUAAGUCAGCCAUAUUGUCAAAAAUAUUGCUAUGAUAAA